GAUGGGCACCGAGGGACAUUCGCCCUGGGUCUGUUGUCUCAUUUCUUCUCCGCGUGCAUUCCAGCGCGAGGGAGAGCAGAGCGCAUGGGUCUGUGUUGCUGCAGCGUGUGUGAAGAGGAGAGGGAGAAUUCUGUCCAGCCUUUCCUCCGCACUUCCAAGUAAGCUGCUGGGCUCCUUGCAGUCUAAUUCACUUCUGACAUUCCACGUUCAUGUUACAAGCUCCUCUGAAAGAAGAUGUGGUGAUGUGCUGUGAUCUGCUGAAUGGCCUGAGAGCAUCGGUGGUGUCCAGCAGCUGCUGCUUGUCACCCACGUGGCAGCUGGACUUCGCUGGAGCACAGAGGUUCCCCUAAGCACUGGUUCUGAGGCACUUUGCAACUCCUUUAGGGAUAAAAAAGAUCGAUGGUAUUUUAAUGGAAAAUCUCAGAGCUGAGAUUUUUUUUCAAAGUGAAAAAUUUCACUUUAGGUGAAUCUGUUCCAGGCAGUCCAGUUUGACAUAUCUUAAAGGGAAUCGGUUAUCAGUAAGGCAGGUGUUCUUCAGCGUCCUUCGGCCUGGGUCCCUGACAAUCAUUACUCAUGAAUGGAAAUCUUGUUCCUGUGCUUUAAAUUUUCCUUUUUUUUUCCCAUUUUUUUUUACCCUCUCAGUUUUUGAAGCUGAGCAGCCAAAUGUUGGGAAUUACUAGUCUCUUGGAGACUCGGAAGAUUUUCAAAUGGUUUUCAUGUUUUUUGGAACAGUUUAAAUUUGGCUGAUCUCUUUUAGUAGGAAUUCCAGGAUUUAUUUUUAUUUUUUUUUCAUUUUACAGUUAUGAAAAACAGGUUUGCUGCCUUGGGGGAAGGGAGCAGGAUGAGGAAAGCAAGGCUGGGAAGAAAAGAUGAAUUUAUUCUGACUUUAUCUUUAUUUCAGUCUCCCAAGUUAAAUUCUACACUGUUUCACUGAGGCCAGCUGGUUUUAAUCAUUUCAAGAGAACGCUAUUUAUUAAGUGUCUGUUUCAGGCAGUGUCAAAUCCUUCAGCUCCUUCUCUAUUCUCCAUUGUAAGCAAGAACAUCAGUAGCCCAGGUGGGCUUUGAAUAGCUUCAGAAAGUAGGUAGGUGAGAAUCUAUUUAUUACUUACUGUAGAUCUCAGUAGACAAAGACUCCAAUUAAGGCAGGAAACUGACAUACUUAGCCAACUCUUUCCAAACAGAGGAUGCAAAAGGAGUGAGUAAAAAUUAAAUAAGGUGAUCUAAACUU